rnacentral:lncRNA from 1 species
UUGCAAUACAAUCAAUCACCUUUAUUCCGGGUUAGAACAAGGCCGUGCACACUGCAGACAGAAGAGCACAAGAUAGGGGCAAUCUCACAGCAAUUGUGGAGUCCUAGAGGUGUGUGUGUUAAGGCAGGUGUCUGCAGCAGUGGCCAGAGGGGCAGGGCACGCUAGGCUGGGCUAGGAGUUAAGAGUACUGUCUAACCAGUCUGGCUUCUUCCUUCUUCCAGCAGCCAGCCCUCCCCUCCCAUUAAAGUUUUACUCCCACAUCCUAAAAGCUCCUAACUUGAACUUUGUCUAAAUAAUCUCUGAGACUGCAUGUGAAUUUAAUGUUUUUUUGAAAAAGCUUUCUUUUUUGUUUGGACUAUGUAGCAAUUUGAUUCUGCCACUCCCUUCACUGUGGCAUUCCCCUCCCACCCCCGCUCUGGCCUAGACAAUAAGUUAAUGCUAGACACCACAAAAAAGGGCAGACAUGGCAGUGCAGUUUUAAUAUACAUAUAUGUAGAAUAUAUAUGUACACACAGUUAGCACGGUCAGGGUGGGGAGGGGCAUCUUGGGGUAGGCAGGAGGCUGGGGUCACUCACUGUACUGUAGUGAUGUGGCUAGGAGGUGUUCACAAGCCCAGGGGGCCAGGAUAUCUAGUAAAGAAGGGUUUCCUAAGUGCCUUCCGGGAUUGAAUUGGGGUGGGGAUCGGUGCAAAGGAAAACACUGUAGUUAACUUCUUUCUGGCUUGGGAUGUUCUUCACCAAGGAGAGAGGGAAGGUUGCCUACAAUAACCAAGUUGGGACCCUAUAGAUGGUGGUGUCAGGAUUCGUGUUAAAACCUAAGGGUCUCAUUCUUCAGCCUCCCUAGGUUUAGAGUGCAACAGUCUGAGUAGGAACAACUGAGUGGAAGAGGGGGCUCCCCUCUCUCUGCCCUCAUCCCCAUCUCAGGCUCAGUGGUACAUGUUCCCAGCACAGUCUCUCCAGAGUACAGGUGGGUGGGGGCAUCUAAUGCUGGCUGCUCCAUGGGGUUUGAUCUUAGGGACCAGGAAAGGAUCCCUGGCUCAUACCUAUGCUAGGCCCAUGAGAGGCAAAAAGGGACCUGCUGGUACUCAGGAAACAGCUAGUCCAGCACAGGAGUACAAACAUGGAACUCUGGCUUUUCUUUGCCCCUUCCAGGUGGGGGAUGAGUGGUCUCUUUGCCUUCCCUCCCCACUGCUUUUCCCUGGAUUCACCUACCUCUCCCAUACCUUACCCCUAUGUCAGCUCCUCAAUGUAGGAAAAUGCAGGUCCUUUCUGCUUCCACACUUUAAAGAUAUGGGGGGAGUGGAGGAAAGGGAAGUAGGAGGAAUGUGCUGAUUUCUAUUUGCAUAGAAAUAGCCCCCACCUCUCC